rnacentral:lncRNA from 1 species
AUCACAAAACCUAAAGGAUCCCAUACAAUGUGGUUUGCUAGAAAUCUCUACAGAUGUGUUGGUCAGCCAGCCAUCUUGAAGGAUUACAGCAUAGAAUUAAUGAAGCUAAAGUCUUAGGGAACAAUUGUAUUCCAUUACAAUCAUAUGCUACAAAUUGUUCACCUCUUCCCCAAAUAAGAAACAUCCCUUCAGUUCUCAGUUAUUUGACAACACAAGAAGGGCUGAUGUAAAAUUUUUGAAGGAUUGUCCUUUUCUCCUCUCUUUGAUCACUGUGUGUGAAAAUGACAUCUGUUCCCUGAAAGAGAAAUGACAGAAUCUGAAUGCAGACUUCAAUGCAGAAUGCAGAAUCAAUAUCCAUUGAUUCUGUUUAGGGGAAAAAUGACACUUUCAGAAGCUCAGCAUUGAUUUCUGGAACCCAUACUAUGCAAGUCAAACUGGACUCAUUCAUUGUAAUCUACAGAGACCUUUUAGCAUUUUGCCACUGGCCCAGUUCCACUCCGUGACAAGUGAUCUAAAUAAAGCAAAAUAACAAAGCAAAGACUUUAUGAUUCUGCAAAAUUGCAAAACCCAACACACACUCACACACACACACACACACACACAUCAACUUUUCAGACUCCAGUCUUCAGCAUUAAUUGACUUUGAUGGACUUUGCAUGGAUUGUUUUUCAUCACCAACUAUGAAGAAGUUGAGGCCAAAUGAGAUUAAGGAACUUAUCCAAGAUCAAAGAAAUAACAAGUAGUAGUACUGGAUAUCCAGGUUAACUGAUUACAAAUCCUGUAUUCUUUUUACUAACUUGUGCUGUCUUUUUGUCCUGGAGAACUGUUGCUCUGAAUUUUUUUGAGUAAUCAACCCAAAACAGAGUCCCCAUGGGUGUCUCCUGUUUCCUGCUGCUGUCAACUUGUCUACUCUUUGCCUAUUGCCAUAUACUUGAUACUGUAUUAUAUCAACAUUCAUACAUCCAUCUUAACAGUCUUACCUAUUCUAUGAAAAAGCACUGUCCUAGGUGCUAAGGAUACAAAGAUAACACUGAGGUUUCAUUCUUGCUGUAAAAUGCUUACCAUCUAAUGGUGAGGAAAAACACACACAAAAACUCCAACAUUUAAAUGUGGCUCCAGACUAAAGGAGCUAGAAUGACUCAUUAGUUUCCAUGACAUAUUCACUCUAUUCUCUAUUCAAGUAGUGUUUUCAUUGACUGACAUUCAUGCCUGGAAUUCUCUCUUUUCCCAUUUCUGCCUCCUAGCUUCUCUAGAUUCCCUCAUAUCCCAGAUAAAAUCCUGCCUUCCACAAGAAACCUUUAUUUAGUCUUCUUCUUAAAACUAGCUCCUUUCUCCUGUGGUUAUCUCUAAUUCAUCAAAUAAAUCUGUAUGCUAUACAUUCA